GCAAAGGUUUCUUGCAUUCCUUUUGUUAGCACUGAAGAUGAUGCAGUAGCAACUUUAAGUGAGCUUCUCACUGAUGAUGGCAUCAGUUCUUCUGCUAUCCGUUCACUCAUUAGUUGGGAGAAGCGAGUUUAAUGGGGCAACAAGUCCAAACUCCAGAGCCCGUUCAGACUAGACUCUAGUGUGUAGAGCUGUUCUUAUUCAGGUUUUUAGAUGGUCAUAUCGACAGAACAUCGUCUGAAAGUGAGCACUUGAUGAUUGUAUCAACCACAAAU